CACCAGAUUUUAUUCAGAAAUUAUGAAGAAAAAAUAUGAAACUUUAGUUAUCAGUGAAAUAUAUAUAAAAAAAAACAAAAACAAAAAAAAAUGAUAUAUUGUAAUAUAUUUACAUUGGAUGUUGAUGUUGUAAAAUAUAACAAAUUCUCUCAGUGAGAAUGUAAUAUAUAGGAAAUGAGAUGAGGUAAGCACCAGUACAAAUCUAUCAAAGUUCUUUUUUGUUUUGUCUUUUAUUAUUCUAAACCAUCUUUGAAGGAAUAAUAUACAACCACUACGUUCGUUAAUUGCCAGGUAUCUCUAGAUGCUUGUAUACAUGUAUACACACACUCAUACACACACACAUAUAUAUAUAUAUAUAUAUACAUACAUAUAUAUACAUGUACACAUGCGCACACACACACAAAAUUCCUCAAAGGAGUUUCUUAUAUGUCUCCAGUCCUGUGAUUAUUCCACCCCAUUUCCUCUUCAACAAUUUUCAGAGUCCGUACGGCAUAUCAUGCUUCACUGCCUUUCACUUUCGGACUGAGCCCACGGAAAUGUUUGAAAUAGCAAAGCAAAAUUAUCACAACCAGGAAAUAAAGCUCCAACAGCCUCUUAGAAAAAUAAAGUAAAUGGCAGAAAAGAUAAGCUAAAAUCAUUGAUAAAUUUGUGGAUCAGCCGAAGCAAAAUUCCAGAGAAGCAGCUGCAGCAGUAAAUAAAGGGACAUCACUGAAAAACAAGCUACAUCAUCAUCAUUGUUUAACGUCCGCUUUCCAUGCUAGCAUGGGUUGGAUGAUUUGACUGAGUGCUGGCGAACCAGAUGGCUGCACCAGGCUCCAGUCUUGAUCUGGCAGAGUUUCUACAGCUGGAUGCCCUUCCUAACGCCAACCACUCUGAGAGUGUAGUGGGUGCUUUUUACAUGCCACCAGCAUGGGGGCCAGUCAGGCAGUACUGGCAAUGACCUCGCUCAAAUUUUUUUACACAGGUGCCAGUGAUGCGACGUUGGUAACGAUCACACUUGAAUGGUGCCCUUUUACGUGCCAUGGGUAUGGAAGCCAGUUGGCUGCACUGGCAACAAUCAUGCUCGGAUGGUGCUCUUGGCACCCUACUAGCACAUGCACAACAGUAAUAAUUCUUUGUUUUUCCUAUAGGCACAAGUCCUGAAAUUUGGGAGUGGAGUGGGGAUCUAGUCGAUUACAUCGAACCUAGUACCCUAAUUGUACUUAUUUUAUCAACUCUGAAAGGAUGAAAGGUAAAGUUGACCUCAUUGAAAUUUGAAGGCCACAGCAAUAAAAAUAAGCAUUUCUAAAAUGGGCACUAGAAAUGCUUAUUGUUACUGCUGUGGCCUUCAAACAUAGGCAUUUUAUCUGACCCUAACACUCCUGCCAGCUCACCCUCAUUAAUAAUAAAAUUGUCUCAAAUUUUGACACAAGGCCAAUAGUUUUAAAUUGCCUUAGCUCCAGUAUUUAACAAGUAUAUUUUUUUAUCAACCCCAAGAGAGUGAAAGGAAAAGUCUAUUGCAAUGGUAUUUGAACUCACGACUUAAAAAGGUCUGGAAGAAAUACCAAAGGUAUUUUUACAAUACUCUAACGCUACUUCAAAUAUGCUGUCUAAAAUAAUGGUUUCAAAUUUUGGCACAAGGCCAGCAGUUUCAAGGGGAGAGGGUUAGUCAA
rnacentral:lncRNA from 1 species